AGAAUCAACGCUGGCGGCGUGCCUAACACAUGCAAGUCGCACGAGAAAGGGGCUUCGGCCCUGAGUAAAGUGGCGCACGGGUGAGUAACACGUGAAUAAUCUACCUCCGAGUGGGGAAUAACUGAGAGAAAUCUUAGCUAAUACCGCAUAAUACUUACGAGUCAAAAGCAGCAAUGCGCUUGGAGAGGAGUUCGCGGCCGAUUAGUAGUUGGCGGGGUAAUGGCCCACAAGACGAUGAUCGGUA
rnacentral:rRNA from 1 species